rnacentral:lncRNA from 1 species
CUACUGGACAGUUGCAGUUGAUACCUCAAGGGGUGACUGUACUCCCAGGCCCAGGCCAGCAGCUAAUGCAAGCUGCAAUGCCAAAUGGUACUGUUCAGCGAUUCCUCUUUACCCCAUUGGCAACAACAGCCACCACAGCCAGCACCACCACCACCACUGUUUCCACGACAGCAGCAGGUACAGGUGAACAAAGGCAGAGUAAACUGUCACCCCAGAUGCAGGUACAUCAAGACAAAACCCUGCCACCAGCUCAGUCAUCAAGUGUGGGUCCAGCAGAAGCCCAGCCACAGACUGCUCAGCCUUCAGCUCAGCCCCAGCCCCAAACCCAGCCCCAGUCCCCAGCUCAGCCUGAAGUUCAGACUCAGCCUGAAGUUCAGACCCAAACAACUGUUUCAUCCCAUGUCCCUUCUGAAGCACAACCCACCCACGCACAGUCAUCCAAGCCCCAAGUUGCAGCACAGUCUCAGCCUCAAAGUAAUGUCCAAGGACAGUCUCCUGUUCGUGUCCAAAGUCCAUCACAGACUCGAAUACGUCCAUCAACUCCAUCCCAACUGUCUCCUGGACAACAAUCCCAGGUUCAGACUACAACCUCACAACCGAUUCCAAUUCAACCACAUACAUCUCUUCAGAUACCUUCCCAAGGCCAGCCACAGUCACAACCCCAGGUGGUGAUGAAGCAUAAUGCUGUAAUAGAACAUUUAAAACAGAAAAAGAGCAUGACUCCAGCUGAAAGAGAAGAGAAUCAAAGAAUGAUUGUCUGUAACCAGGUGAUGAAGUAUAUUUUGGAUAAGAUAGAU